CAUGCAGGCGGUUAUACAAGUAGGAUGUGAAAGCCUGGGGCUCAACCUCAGAACUGCAUUCUAAACUGUGUGACUAGAGUAUUGCAGGGGGAGACGGAAUUUCAGGUGUAGCGGUGGAAUGCGUAGAUAUCUGAAAGAACACCAAAGGCGAAGGCAGUCUCCUGGGCAAAUACUGACGCUCAUAUGCGAAAGCGUGGGUAGCAAACA
rnacentral:rRNA from 2 species